GCAUGCGCAGAGGCCGGAAACGGGUCGAAAUGGCGCCGAAGGCCUCAGCCACUCUCUACCUCGUGGCCUUGAGAAAGCGGGACUCUCUGGAGCUCACUGUUUAUGAUGAAACAGACGCUUACAGAGGGAAGGAUGGACCACAGGCUACAGGGAUAGUAAAUGAAGGGGCUCUGGCCAGCCUGAGUGUGGCAAGCAGGGCUUUCCCCUCUUUCCCUCUGCCUUGCUGAAAACUAUUAGGUUACAUUCCUAAAGCUGCCACCAAGGUCUGUCCCUUUAUCCCUUUAUUUGGCCACUCCUCCCUCCUGAAGCUGACUACUAAGGUCCAGCUCUCAAAGCAUUGAAAUCCAGCAAGCAAAAGCCCCCUUCGGUUCUCCUAGUUAAGAUGCCCAAUUAAAAUAAAACAUCUCAUCCUAA